rnacentral:misc_RNA from 1 species
UCCGGUUUGACACCGGCAGUCCCGCUAGAGUGCGUCCGCCCGAAGGCGAACUGGCAACUAGAGGCAGGGGUUUCGCUCGUUAGAGGACUUAACCCGACACUUCACAGCACGAGCUGACGACAGCCAUGCAGCACCUGUGCACGUUCCACCCUUGCGGGUGUCACACCCCUUUCAGGGUGCUAAUCCGUGCAUGUCAAGCCUUGGAUAAGGUUCUUCGCGUUGCGUCGAAUUAAGCCACAUGCUCCGCCGCUUGUGCGGGCCCCCGUCAAUUCCUUUGAGUUUUAGCCUUGCGGCCGUACUCCCCAGGCGGGGUGCUUAAUGCGUUGGCGACGGCACGGAAGGGGUUGAUGCCUCCCACACCUAGCACCCAACGUUUACGGCUGGGACUAC